rnacentral:lncRNA from 12 species
GCUUUCGGGGAGGGCUCUGGCGUGAAUUUGGGUCUGGGGUCUCAGGGCACUCGGGGAGGGCUCUGGGGUUAAAUUGGGUCUGGGGUCUCAGGGCACUCAGGGAGGGCUCUGGGGUUAAUUUGGGUCUGGGGUCUCAGGAUACUCGGGGAGGGCUCUGGGGUUAAUUUGGGUCUGGGGUCUCAGCAUACUCGGGAGGGCUCUGGGGUUAAUUUGGGUCUGGGGUCUCAGCAUACUCGGGAGGGCUCUGGGGUUAAUUUGGGUCUGGGGUCUCAGCAUACUCGGGAGGGCUCUGGGGUUAAUUUGGGUCUGGGGUCUCAGCAUACUCGGGAGGGCUCUGGGGUUAAUUUGGGUCUGGGGUCUCAGCAUACUCGGGAGGGCUCUGGGGUUAAUUUGGGUCUGGGGUCUCAGCAUACUCGGGAGGGCUCUGGGGUUAAUUUGGGUCUGGGGUCUCAGCAUACUCGGGAGGGCUCUGGGGUUAAUUUGGGUCUGGGGUCUCAGCAUACUCGGGAGGGCUCUGGGGUUAAUUUGGGUCUGGGGUCUCAGCAUACUCGGGAGGGCUCUGGGGUUAAUUUGGGUCUGGGGUCUCAGCAUACUCGGGAGGGCUCUGGGGUUAAUUUGGGUCUGGGGUCUCAGCAUACUCGGGAGGGCUCUGGGGUUAAUUUGGGUCUGGGGUCUCAGCAUACUCGGGAGGGCUCUGGGGUUAAUUUGGGUCUGGGGUCUCAGCAUACUCGGGAGGGCUCUGGGGUUAAUUUGGGUCUGGGGUCUCAGCAUACUCGGGAGGGCUCUGGGGUUAAUUUGGGUCUGGGGUCUCAGCAUACUCGGGAGGGCUCUGGGGUUAAUUUGGGUCUGGGGUCUCAGCAUACUCGGGAGGGCUCUGGGGUUAAUUUGGGUCUGGGGUCUCAGCAUACUCGGGAGGGCUCUGGGGUUAAUUUGGGUCUGGGGUCUCAGCAUACUCGGGAGGGCUCUGGGGUUAAUUUGGGUCUGGGGUCUCAGCAUACUCGGGAGGGCUCUGGGGUUAAUUUGGGUCUGGGGUCUCAGCAUACUCGGGAGGGCUCUGGGGUUAAUUUGGGUCUGGGGUCUCAGCAUACUCGGGAGGGCUCUGGGGUUAAUUUGGGUCUGGGGUCUCAGCAUACUCGGGAGGGCUCUGGGGUUAAUUUGGGUCUGGGGUCUCAGCAUACUCGGGAGGGCUCUGGGGUUAAUUUGGGUCUGGGGUCUCAGCAUACUCGGGAGGGCUCUGGGGUUAAUUUGGGUCUGGGGUCUCAGCAUACUCGGGAGGGCUCUGGGGUUAAUUUGGGUCUGGGGUCUCAGCAUACUCGGGAGGGCUCUGGGGUUAAUUUGGGUCUGGGGUCUCAGCAUACUCGGGAGGGCUCUGGGGUUAAUUUGGGUCUGGGGUCUCAGCAUACUCGGGAGGGCUCUGGGGUUAAUUUGGGUCUGGGGUCUCAGCAUACUCGGGAGGGCUCUGGGGUUAAUUUGGGUCUGGGGUCUCAGCAUACUCGGGAGGGCUCUGGGGUUAAUUUGGGUCUGGGGUCUCAGCAUACUCGGGAGGGCUCUGGGGUUAAUUUGGGUCUGGGGUCUCAGCAUACUCGGGAGGGCUCUGGGGUUAAUUUGGGUCUGGGGUCUCAGCAUACUCGGGAGGGCUCUGGGGUUAAUUUGGGUCUGGGGUCUCAGCAUACUCGGGAGGGCUCUGGGGUUAAUUUGGGUCUGGGGUCUCAGCAUACUCGGGAGGGCUCUGGGGUUAAUUUGGGUCUGGGGUCUCAGCAUACUCGGGAGGGCUCUGGGGUUAAUUUGGGUCUGGGGUCUCAGCAUACUCGGGAGGGCUCUGGGGUUAAUUUGGGUCUGGGGUCUCAGCAUACUCGGGAGGGCUCUGGGGUUAAUUUGGGUCUGGGGUCUCAGCAUACUCGGGAGGGCUCUGGGGUUAAUUUGGGUCUGGGGUCUCAGCAUACUCGGGAGGGCUCUGGGGUUAAUUUGGGUCUGGGGUCUCAGCAUACUCGGGAGGGCUCUGGGGUUAAUUUGGGUCUGGGGUCUCAGCAUACUCGGGAGGGCUCUGGGGUUAAUUUGGGUCUGGGGUCUCAGCAUACUCGGGAGGGCUCUGGGGUUAAUUUGGGUCUGGGGUCUCAGCAUACUCGGGAGGGCUCUGGGGUUAAUUUGGGUCUGGGGUCUCAGCAUACUCGGGAGGGCUCUGGGGUUAAUUUGGGUCUGGGGUCUCAGCAUACUCGGGAGGGCUCUGGGGUUAAUUUGGGUCUGGGGUCUCAGCAUACUCGGGAGGGCUCUGGGGUUAAUUUGGGUCUGGGGUCUCAGCAUACUCGGGAGGGCUCUGGGGUUAAUUUGGGUCUGGGGUCUCAGCAUACUCGGGAGGGCUCUGGGGUUAAUUUGGGUCUGGGGUCUCAGCAUACUCGGGAGGGCUCUGGGGUUAAUUUGGGUCUGGGGUCUCAGCAUACUCGGGAGGGCUCUGGGGUUAAUUUGGGUCUGGGGUCUCAGCAUACUCGGGAGGGCUCUGGGGUUAAUUUGGGUCUGGGGUCUCAGCAUACUCGGGAGGGCUCUGGGGUUAAUUUGGGUCUGGGGUCUCAGCAUACUCGGGAGGGCUCUGGGGUUAAUUUGGGUCUGGGGUCUCAGCAUACUCGGGAGGGCUCUGGGGUUAAUUUGGGUCUGGGGUCUCAGCAUACUCGGGAGGGCUCUGGGGUUAAUUUGGGUCUGGGGUCUCAGCAUACUCGGGAGGGCUCUGGGGUUAAUUUGGGUCUGGGGUCUCAGCAUACUCGGGAGGGCUCUGGGGUUAAUUUGGGUCUGGGGUCUCAGCAUACUCGGGAGGGCUCUGGGGUUAAUUUGGGUCUGGGGUCUCAGCAUACUCGGGAGGGCUCUGGGGUUAAUUUGGGUCUGGGGUCUCAGCAUACUCGGGAGGGCUCUGGGGUUAAUUUGGGUCUGGGGUCUCAGCAUACUCGGGAGGGCUCUGGGGUUAAUUUGGGUCUGGGGUCUCAGCAUACUCGGGAGGGCUCUGGGGUUAAUUUGGGUCUGGGGUCUCAGCAUACUCGGGAGGGCUCUGGGGUUAAUUUGGGUCUGGGGUCUCAGCAUACUCGGGAGGGCUCUGGGGUUAAUUUGGGUCUGGGGUCUCAGCAUACUCGGGAGGGCUCUGGGGUUAAUUUGGGUCUGGGGUCUCAGCAUACUCGGGAGGGCUCUGGGGUUAAUUUGGGUCUGGGGUCUCAGCAUACUCGGGAGGGCUCUGGGGUUAAUUUGGGUCUGGGGUCUCAGCAUACUCGGGAGGGCUCUGGGGUUAAUUUGGGUCUGGGGUCUCAGCAUACUCGGGAGGGCUCUGGGGUUAAUUUGGGUCUGGGGUCUCAGCAUACUCGGGAGGGCUCUGGGGUUAAUUUGGGUCUGGGGUCUCAGCAUACUCGGGAGGGCUCUGGGGUUAAUUUGGGUCUGGGGUCUCAGCAUACUCGGGAGGGCUCUGGGGUUAAUUUGGGUCUGGGGUCUCAGCAUACUCGGGAGGGCUCUGGGGUUAAUUUGGGUCUGGGGUCUCAGCAUACUCGGGAGGGCUCUGGGGUUAAUUUGGGUCUGGGGUCUCAGCAUACUCGGGAGGGCUCUGGGGUUAAUUUGGGUCUGGGGUCUCAGCAUACUCGGGAGGGCUCUGGGGUUAAUUUGGGUCUGGGGUCUCAGCAUACUCGGGAGGGCUCUGGGGUUAAUUUGGGUCUGGGGUCUCAGCAUACUCGGGAGGGCUCUGGGGUUAAUUUGGGUCUGGGGUCUCAGCAUACUCGGGAGGGCUCUGGGGUUAAUUUGGGUCUGGGGUCUCAGCAUACUCGGGAGGGCUCUGGGGUUAAUUUGGGUCUGGGGUCUCAGCAUACUCGGGAGGGCUCUGGGGUUAAUUUGGGUCUGGGGUCUCAGCAUACUCGGGAGGGCUCUGGGGUUAAUUUGGGUCUGGGGUCUCAGCAUACUCGGGAGGGCUCUGGGGUUAAUUUGGGUCUGGGGUCUCAGCAUACUCGGGAGGGCUCUGGGGUUAAUUUGGGUCUGGGGUCUCAGCAUACUCGGGAGGGCUCUGGGGUUAAUUUGGGUCUGGGGUCUCAGCAUACUCGGGAGGGCUCUGGGGUUAAUUUGGGUCUGGGGUCUCAGCAUACUCGGGAGGGCUCUGGGGUUAAUUUGGGUCUGGGGUCUCAGCAUACUCGGGAGGGCUCUGGGGUUAAUUUGGGUCUGGGGUCUCAGCAUACUCGGGAGGGCUCUGGGGUUAAUUUGGGUCUGGGGUCUCAGCAUACUCGGGAGGGCUCUGGGGUUAAUUUGGGUCUGGGGUCUCAGCAUACUCGGGAGGGCUCUGGGGUUAAUUUGGGUCUGGGGUCUCAGCAUACUCGGGAGGGCUCUGGGGUUAAUUUGGGUCUGGGGUCUCAGCAUACUCGGGAGGGCUCUGGGGUUAAUUUGGGUCUGGGGUCUCAGCAUACUCGGGAGGGCUCUGGGGUUAAUUUGGGUCUGGGGUCUCAGCAUACUCGGGAGGGCUCUGGGGUUAAUUUGGGUCUGGGGUCUCAGCAUACUCGGGAGGGCUCUGGGGUUAAUUUGGGUCUGGGGUCUCAGCAUACUCGGGAGGGCUCUGGGGUUAAUUUGGGUCUGGGGUCUCAGCAUACUCGGGAGGGCUCUGGGGUUAAUUUGGGUCUGGGGUCUCAGCAUACUCGGGAGGGCUCUGGGGUUAAUUUGGGUCUGGGGUCUCAGCAUACUCGGGAGGGCUCUGGGGUUAAUUUGGGUCUGGGGUCUCAGCAUACUCGGGAGGGCUCUGGGGUUAAUUUGGGUCUGGGGUCUCAGCAUACUCGGGAGGGCUCUGGGGUUAAUUUGGGUCUGGGGUCUCAGCAUACUCGGGAGGGCUCUGGGGUUAAUUUGGGUCUGGGGUCUCAGCAUACUCGGGAGGGCUCUGGGGUUAAUUUGGGUCUGGGGUCUCAGCAUACUCGGGAGGGCUCUGGGGUUAAUUUGAAAGGACCACUUCCCUUGUAACAACAUUCUCAGUAAAACUUCCGACAUAA